CCCCCACAUGCAGGGGAUGCAGGGCUUCCUGAGCAGUGAUGGAAGAAAGGGUGAAUGCUUCUGACAGCAAGUGACUGCAGUGUAUGUUAGAGGCUUGAUGGAGCAAGCGAGGCUACAAAUGAAGUGGUACAGGAAGAGAAAUGGACAUGGCACGUGGCAGAUAAAGAUGUAAGUGGGUCAAGCAUCACUAUCUCAGGACGGUAGUGACAUUUUGGCCUGCACAUCAAAGCACAAAUCAUUUUGUUUAAGCACAUUAAACACAGUGGCUGGCUACUAGCAAAGCCCUUGAAUAAAGAUCAUGAGGUAUUCAGCAAUGGAAUCUUAGUAUUUGCUCUACAAGGUUAAUUAAUAUCUUCAUCAAGGUGGUUGUGUAAUACCAUUCACCUGACUGCAAGGGUGUCAGAAGACUGUACUAAGCUAUAUCUGCUUAUGUUAGAUCAAGAAUAUUUUGGCUUUGUUUUAAAUAGCAAGCAUUAAAGAACCAUACAUAAUAGCAAGUAGCAUUUAAAAACAAGUAGCACACUUCUAGGCACCUUUCCACUAAAUACACAGUGAGAAGAUCUUAAUAAGCAAAUUAAGAAAUGCAAUUAAUGGACGGAAUCAUUAGAUACAUAGGCAUUAACUAAGGGUGACUGUUCAUGCAGCCAGUGAAAGCUUGCAGCAGUAAUUACAGUAUGUCAGAUCAAACCAGAAUGCUGAUAGUGUAUUUUCUAAAUCAUACCUACCUCACAAGUUCAGUUCUGGUUUUCAACCUUUGCUCGAGGUCAGAGCAUGAGUAAUAAACACAAAUAUGUCUCAGUGCAGUCACUGAGAAUGACUUAAAGGAGACAUGACUGUAACAGACUGGGGAAAAAGUGUUUGCUUUUCAAAAUAUGUCCCAUAUUUCAACUCUUAUAUUGCUCCAACUAUCACCAAAGCUAUUGAUAAACAAAGCAGAAUUCAAAACACAUGGACAAAUAUUAUUACUUCACAGCUUCAACACAAAAAGCCUCAUUUCAGAGAUGUUUAAUUCUUUCAGAGCCCAAACCUUGUGCAUCUGGAGGUACUUAUUUAAUUCUAAAGAGAUAGAACACCUUUCCAGGCAGCAACACUGAGAAAAGUAAUAUGAAUCAAUUGAGAAUAAUUUUUCCCACAUGUCAAAACAGUUUUGCAUUCCAUACAGUCCUGGAUUUUCUUUUCCAAAUGGAUUAUUCUUCUCAUUGCAGCCUCCUAAAGCCAAACUGGGUGCCUGUUUUUUCUCAAGUAAAAUGCUUACAAUAACCAGUGGCAGAAUUAUUAAUUUGGAGCCCAUUAUCUUGAC
rnacentral:lncRNA from 7 species